rnacentral:rRNA from 1 species
GACAGAGGUGGCGAGCGUUGUCCGGAGUCACUGGGCGUAAAGCGCGCGCAGGCGGCAACCUUAGUGUCGUGUGAAAGCACCCGGCUCAACCGGGGGAGGCCAUGGCAAACUGGGUCGCUCGAGCUGCGGAGAGGCUCCUCGAAUUGCCGGUGUAGCGGUGAAAUGCGUAGAGAUCGGCAGGAAGACCAAGGGGGAAGCCAGGGGGCUGGCCGCAGGCUGACGCUGAGGCGCGACAGCGUGGGGAGCAAACCGG